rnacentral:lncRNA from 1 species
AUUUUCUUAAUGGCUUCUCUGAAAGCAGCUUUAUAAGACAUUAUUAUUGUCCUUUCAAAGGUUGUUUCAGAAGAUUAAUUGCAAAAAAGAACAGAAUCUUUCAAAGGAAGCAGUACUUGUAAACCUUCAGAAAUGAAGCUGAAAUCUAAAUAGAUUGUGCCAGUACAAACACUGUUUGAAUACUGAAUACCUCUCUUUGAGAAAGAAUUAAUGCAAGUUGACAUCACUUGGUGCCAUUCUGAAUAUCUUUUCACAAAGCAUUUGACAAUGCAGGUCAAACAAAAGCUUAAGAACUGACAGGAUUGCCCUUAGCCACUAUGUAUAGCAAGAAAAAAA